rnacentral:tRNA from 1 species
GCGGGUAUAGUUUAGUGGUAUGACGCGGCCUUCCCAAGGCCGAAACGGGAGUUCGAUUCUCCCUACCCGCA